rnacentral:rRNA from 1 species
AUUGAACGCUGGCGGCAGGCCUAACACAUGCAAGUCGAGCGGAUGAAGGGAGCUUGCUCCUGGAUUCAGCGGCGGACGGGUGAGUAAUGCCUAGGAAUUUGCCUGGUAGUGGGGGAUAACGUCCGGAAACGGGCGCUAAUACCGCAUACGUCCUGAGGUAGAAAGUGGGGGAUCUUCGGACCUCACGCUAUCAGAUGAGCCUAGGUCGGAUUAGCUAGUUGGUGGGGUAAAGGCCUACCAAGGCGACGAUCCGUAACUGGUCUGAGAGGAUGAUCAGUCACACUGGAACUGAGACACGGUCCAGACUCCUACGGGAGGCAGCAGUGGGGAAUAUUGGGCAAUGGGCGAAAGCCUGAUCCAGCCAUGCCGCGUGUGUGAAGAAGGUCUUCGGAUUGUAAAGCACUUUAAGUUGGGAGGAAGGGCAGUAAGUUAAUACCUUGCUGUUUUGACGUUACCAACAGAAUAAGCACCGGCUAACUUCGUG